rnacentral:lncRNA from 1 species
AGUUUCUCCUGAUGGGCCGGUGACUGAAGUCAGGUCUGGAUAAGUCGCUUUUGUUAGCCAGGGAGACCGUUUAGGAGGAUAUUCAAACACAUAGACAUUUUACAAGGCUACUCUGAAGGGCAACCAAGUACAUAUACAAAAUACAAAUUGUACAGCUCUGAUUAAAGAUAGGCUACAAUGUAAUGACAACCCAUUCAGUAAUGAAUACUGCAGGGAAUGACAGUUACUUUUCUCAGUGCUGUGACCAAUGGGCAGUAAAAUAGGUCUAAUUGGAGGAAAAGAGAAUUGUAAGAAAAUUUUUUUUACAAUCACAUCAGACGAUGGGCUUAUCAAAGAAAAAUUGCCAAAGACACGGAAACAACAUUGAUUUGAAGCUGCCAGGGGAAGAUCUUCACUUCACUGAGAGAGGCACAGCAGAGAAUUUCUCUUGGUGUCCUUGCUAUUUCUGGUCACUCCUGCUGACUUGUGCCAAUUUGGCUGAUGCCUGGCAGUUUCUGCUGGAUUUUGAUUCUGCCGGCGAUUCAAGUUUACUGGACUGCUGAUAUCCUGACAAAUGGGGAUUGGAAUCACCCCAGUGAAUUACUUUUAAACAGGUCCACACCCCCUUGUCUUAUUUACCAUCUUCUCUCCCCUGCCUUUGGAUGGUGGGCUAGAAGGGGUGUGGAAGUGUUUGAGAACUCUUAUUCAAAACCUAAAAAUGUACGUUUUGAAAAACCUAAGCCUAAAGGAAAGUCCACCUAAUUUGAUGCUCACUUACAUGAAAAGGGGAAGAUAGAGUGAAGCGCAAUCAUCUAAUUAGAGUUGGGCUCCCCAAACUAUGAUAUUGAUUUUUGAAAAUAAAAGAGGUACAUUUUUAAAUAAACAGACUAAGAGAUGGUACAGUAGGAUUAAAAAAAAAGUUUGUCAGGCAACUGUGAGGAACUGAGUUCAAAUCCCAGAAGCUGCUUAAAAUCCUAGUGUUAGUAUUUGGAAUUCCAGAAGAGAACACCCACAGACAGGUAAAGUCCUGAGGGCAUGGAGCUUGAUGGUGGUGGAAGAGGAGUGAGUGUAGAGAGGAGGGGUGAAACUUUAGGAAUCAUCUAAAUUUGGAAAACAGAAUUUGGUUGUGUAAAGUAUAGUCAUAUUAGUACAAAUACACUGAUUGGGGGUUGGGUUAAAGAAUAAGAUAAAGUAAUGCAUUAAACUGUAGGAAUUCUUGAAUAUAUUGCAUGCUUUUAUUCCUGUUAAUAGACAAAUAAAUAACUAAAUAAAUAAAUAAUAAAAAAUGGUAACAGCAUGCAUUGUGUGAUCAGUUGACUAUACUCAAUUACAGGCAAUUAUCUGCUAUGAUAAUCUUCAGGGUCAUUUAUAAAUGGGUACAGCCUAAGAAUAAAUCUAUAACAGCCACAAUCUCCUAAAAUCUUGCGACCUAGGAACAACAUUGAAAUUUUCAUGUCUUGUUCUGUUUGAAAGUAAGUAAUUGGAACUUGAGAGUGAAUCCACCAUGAAAGCAAUUGGAACCUGAUGGAUUAAGGACAAUUUUUAAAAGCUCAAGUUUAUUCUGUUGUCUGUAGGCGUUCAAUUUAAAUGAUUAAAAAUAGACCCUUCUAAUG